rnacentral:rRNA from 1 species
CCCUUAGAUGUUCUGGGCCGCACGCGCACUACACUGAUGAAUUCAACGAGCCUAGCCUUGUCCGAAAGGUCCGGGUAAUCUCUGAAACUUCAUCGUGAUGGGGAUAGAUCAUUGCAAUUAUUGAUCUUCAACGAGGAAUUCCUAGUAAGCGCAAGUCAUCAGCUUGCGUUGAUUACGUCCCUGCCCUUUGUACACACCGCCCGUCGCUUGUACCGAUUGGAUGGUCCGGUGAAAUCUUCGGAUAGCUGGUAGUUGGCUUGCCAUCUGCUGCUAAAAGUUGCUUAAACCUUAUCAUCUAGAGGAACAAGAAGUCGUAACA